CUACGGGAGGCUGCAGUGGGGAAUAUUGCACAAUGGGCGCAAGCCUGAUGCAGCCAUGCCGCGUGUAUGAAGAAGGCCUUCGGGUUGUAAAGUACUUUCAGCGGGGAGGAAGGGAGUAAAGUUAAUACCUUUGCUCAUUGACGUUACCCGCAGAAGAAGCACCGGCUAACUCCGUGCCAGCAGCCGCGGUAAUACGGAGGGUGCAAGCGUUAAUCGGAAUUACUGGGCGUAAAGCGCACGCAGGCGGUUUGUUAAGUCAGAUGUGAAAUCCCCGGGCUCAACCUGGGAACUGCAUCUGAUACUGGCAAGCUCGAGUCUCGUAGAGGGGGGUAGAAUUCCAGGUGUAGCGGUGAAAUGCGUAGAGAUCUGGAGGAAUACCAGUGGCGAAGGCGGCCCCCUGGACGAAGACUGACGCUCAGGUGCGAAAGCGUGGGGAGCAAACAGGAUUAGAUACCCCUGUAGUC
rnacentral:rRNA from 1 species